rnacentral:lncRNA from 1 species
UCCCUUUUGCGCUGAGCAUAGCAUCUUCUUGACCCCGUCGACAAUCUCAAUCGAAAAGAAAGAGCGUCUUCAAACGUUGAGAGUUUCAACAAAUUCUUGAUUGCUUCUAGCCUCUCUUUUAUCGUGAUCAUUCUACAUAUUUCUUGUCUCCAGCAAAUCUCUCUUGUUUCGUUGUCUUACUCACUUAUUGCUAACACAAAGAAAAGCCCUGAACAAACUUACCUUGCGAGGUGGAGAGGUGCGAGAGUGGACCGGGCCUGUCAAGGAUCAGCGACGGAUCAUGAUCGUUGUUUUCAUUGAGGUUGGACCAUUGUCAUGUACAUUUUCAACAAACAUUUUGGUUAGAACAAACAGCUCACGAACCUGUUAAACUUCGACUUCCAUAUCGUUGGACAGCCAGAGUUUUCAUGAUCGUUGUUUUCGUUGAGGUUGGACCAUUGUCAUGUACGUCUUCAACUGGAUUGAAGUUUUGAAGAUUGCAGAUGCCCGACGUUGUUUCUCAGCUCGCAGGUCUUGCGUUGAGCAGCAGCAACAUCGCUGACAAUCUCUACAAAAUGUUGGCAUAGAAUCUCUCCAAUCUCGUAGCAUUUUUCUUCUUGGACACAGCGUUUUUUAGUUCUUAUCGUGGUUGAGCAGCACCAACAUGUCACUUGUCUUUUUGAUGACAAGAACUUUGAACAAAUUGAAACACACACAAACCUGACAACAAGUUUCCCUUCGCGUUGAGAGUUCCUUGGAUCGUUGUUUUGCACUUAGCUUGUUUGAGUUGUUUGUUCAAGCAUAUUAUAUUAACUUGGACUGUGUGCGUUGAGCAUAGCAUCGAAAAGAAAGAGCGUCUUCAAACGUUGAGAGUUUCAACACGAAUUCUUAAUCGCCUCUAGCCUAGAGAAUACCUCUUAGCUCGUUGCAAGCAGCUUCGCUUUCUUGUCUCCAGCAAAUCUCUCUUGUUUCGUUGUCUUACUCUAAACGAACUUACCUUUACCUUGCGAGGCGAGAGUGGACUUGAUCCGUCGCUGAUCCUUGACAGGCCCUGAUCGUUGUUUUCAUUGAGGUUGGACCAUUGUCAGGUAGAACUUCAGCUGGAUUUAAGUUCUGAAGAUCGCAGUUUCCCAACGUUGUUUCUCAGCUCGCAGGUCUUGCGUUGAGCGCAGCAACAACACAACUCAAAGCUCCAAAACGUUGACACAAAAUCUCUCCAAUCCAGUAGCAUUUCUCUUCUUGGCACACGCUGUGACAUGGCGUUUUUCAGUUCUUAUCGUCGUUGAGCAGCACCCUUCAUGACAAGAAAUUAGAACAAAUCGAAACACACGCGAACCUGGCAACGUGAAACUAAGUAUCGUUGAUUGUUAGUUUUGUUCGUAUUCACACAGCGUUGUCCACAUCGGUGAGUUUCCCUUCGCGUUGAGAGUUCCUUGGCCCGUUGUCUUGCACUUUGCUUGUUUGAGUUGUUUGUUGUGUCACUGGCCCUUUUGCGUUGCAAUCGAAAAGAAAGAGCGCGUUGAGAGUUUCAACACGAUUUCUUGAUCGCCUCUAGCAUACCUCUUAGCUCGUUGCAAGAAGCUUCGCUUUCCAAAUCUCUGUCUUACUCGCUUAUUGCUAACGCAAAGAAAAGCCCUACCUAAACGAACUUACCUUGCGAGGGUGGAGAGAGGCAAAGCGGCCUACCAUGGGCAGAGGGGAAGGAUCGGCGACCACCAACCCCAACCCCAAGAUCCGCGGCAUCCACCAUCACUGCCCUAGCCCUUUAUCAUCGAUGAACUCUAAACUUG